rnacentral:rRNA from 1 species
GGGGAAUCUUGCGCAAUGGGCGAAAGCCUGACGCAGCAACGCCGCGUGCGGGAUGAAGGCCUUCGGGUUGUAAACCGCUUUCAGUGGGGACGAAUCAAGACGGUACCCACAGAAGAAGCCCCGGCCAACUACGUGCCAGCAGCCGCGGUAACACGUAGGGGGCAAGCGUUGUCCGGAUUUAUUGGGCGUAAAGAGCUCGUAGGUGGUUCAGUAAGUCGGGUGUGAAACCUCCAGGCUCAACCUGGAGACGCCACCCGAUACUGCUGUGACUAGAGUCCAGUAGGGGAGCAUGGAAUUCCUGGUGUAGCGGUGAAAUGCGCAGAUAUCAGGAGGAACACCAGUGGCGAAGGCGGUGCUCUGGGCUGGAACUGACACUGAGGAGCGAAAGCGUGGGGAGCGAAC